rnacentral:lncRNA from 1 species
UUUUUUUUUUUUUUUGUAUUUUUAGUAAAGGUGUGGUUUCUCCAUGUUAGCCAGGCUGGUCUUGAACUCCCAACCUCACCAUCUACCUCGGAUUUCCAAAGUGCUAGGAUUACAGGUAUGAGCCACCCUGCCUGGCCUGUUUCUUUUCUUUCCUUUUUUUUUUUUUUUUUUUUUUUUACAUGGUGUGCAUUGGUUAUUUUCCUGAGCACAAAAGUGAUGAUUACCCAACACCCAUCAUUGUUGGGUACUUAAUAGGCUCUGAAUACAAAUUUCUCAAGUUAAUAAAUACAUGUUCAUUGUUGAAAACUCUAAAAACACAGAAAAGAGGAAAAAAUUAAAAUAAUUUAGAAAAACCUCCCAACCAGAUGUAAUUACUGUCUAUGCAUUGGCAUACAUCCCUCUAGUUAUGUACAUAGUUGGGGUCAUGCUGAAUGUUUUUCUUUUUUUUUCAUAACAUUAUUGUCAGAGGUAUUUGAACAAGAAUAACUCCAUCUCGAAUAAGGGCUGGGUAAAAGAAGGCUGAGACCUGCUGGGCUGAAUUCCCAGAGAGUUAGGUAUUCUAAGUCAUGGGACGAGAUAGAAGGUUGCAGAAGAUACAGAUACAGAUGACAAAGAGCUGGCUGAUAAAACAGCAUGCAGUAAAGAAGGCAGCCAAAACCCACCAAAACUAAGAUGGCGACAAGAGUGAACUCUGGUCAUCCUCAUUGUUCAUUAUAUGCUAAUUAUAGCACAUUCGCAUGCUAAAAGAUAUUUCCACCAGUGCCGCCAUGACUGCCAAUUUCCCGAAGUUACCCUGUAUAGUCUAAAAAGGAGAGGAACCCUCAGUUCUGAGAAUUGCCCAACUCUUUCCCAGAAAACUCAUGAUUAAUUCACCCCUUGUUUAGCAUAUAAUCAAGAAAUAACAAUAAGUAUCCUUAGUCAAGCAGCACAUGCUUCUGCUCUGCCUAUGCAGUAGCCAUUCUUUUGUUUCUUUACUUCUCUAAUAAACUUACUUCUACUUUACUCUGUGGACUUGCCCUGAAUUCCUUCUUGUACAAAGUCCAAGAACUCUGUCUUGAGGUCUGCAUUGGAAACCCUUUCCAGUAACAUUAUGGCAUAAGCAUUUCUCAUGUUAUUAAAAUUGUUUUAAAUAAUUGUGAUGGCUACAAAAUAUUUUGUCUUAUGGGUACAAUGUAAUUUUACCCUUGUUGGACCUUUCCGCUAUUUUCAAUUUUUUUUUCCUAUGAUAAAAUGAAGACAAAAGCUGUAGAAGAAAUAAAAAAUAAAGUGACUGGACGUCUGGAGACACAGGGACACCUGAAUAUAGAAUUGUCUGUAUCAACCUUGUUUGUAUUCUCAUUUCAGGAGAGUGAGCUCUCAACAGGGUCUACUAAAGAGAAAGGAGAGGGUAACAAAUUGUCAGCUUGUCUCCAAAGCAGUGUGAGAGUAUUCUAAUUUUGAUGAACCAUUCUAGAAAUAGUUUUAAGAGAAGUAUGUAGGUAUUUCAACAGACUCAUUGGAAGUACUCAAGGGCAUUCAACUCUUACUUUUCUAAUUCUGGGAUCAUGCUGCUGAGGUAUAAAUUUAUAGCUAACUGAUUUAUAAAUUAACUAGAACAUCCUGUGCAAAGAUUUGGCUCUCUAGUCAAAUAUAGACUGGGCACUGGUUCAUAAAUUAAUCCCUCUUGGGUGGCUGGUGUCAGUUUCCAGAAGCAUGUUAACUGUGGCACAAAUAGACCCAGAAUGGCCAGGUGUGGUGGUGCAUGACUGUAGUCCCAGAUUCCUGGGAGGCUGAUGUGGGAGGAUUGCUUGAAUCC